rnacentral:rRNA from 1 species
UACGGGGAGCAGCAGGCGCGAAAACUUUACAAUGCGGGCAACCGUGAUAAGGGAACCUCGAGUGCCUGUAUAUGCAGGCUGUCCAGGUGUCUAAAACACACCUGAAGAAAGGGCCGGGCAAGACCGGUGCCAGCCGCCGCGGUAAUAC